GCGAACGCUGGCGGCAGGCCUAACCCCUGCCAGUCGAACGAACCUUUCGGGGUUAGUGGCGGACGGGUGAGUAACACGUGGGAACGUGCCUUUAGGUUCGGAAUAACUCAGGGAAACUUGUGCUAAUACCGAAUGUGCCCUUCGGGGGAAAGAUUAAUCGCCUUUAGAGCGGCCCGCGUCUGAUUAGCUAGUUGGUUGAGGUAAUGGCUCACCAAGGCGACGAUCAGUAGCUGGUCUGAGAGGAUGAUCAGCCACAUUGGGACUGAGACACGGCCCAAACUCCUACGGGAGGCAGCAGUGGGGAAUCUUGCGCAAUGGGCGAAAGCCUGACGCAGCCAUGCCGCGUGAAUGAUGAAGGUCUUAGGAUUGUAAAAUUCUUUCACCGGGGACGAUAAUGACGGUACCCGGAGAAGAAGCCCCGGCUAACUUCGUG
rnacentral:rRNA from 1 species